rnacentral:rRNA from 1 species
UACGAAGGGGGCUAGCGUUGCUCGGAAUUACUGGGCGUAAAGCGCACGUAGGCGGUCUUUUAAGUCGGGGGUGAAAUCCUGGAGCUCAACUCCAGAACUGCCUUCGAUACUGGCAAGCUAGAGUCCGGAAGAGGUAAGUGGAACUCCUAGUGUAGAGGUGGAAUUCGUAGAUAUUAGGAAGAACACCAGUGGCGAAGGCGGCUUACUGGUCCGGAACUGACGCUGAGGUGCGAAAGCGUGGGGAGCAAACAGG